rnacentral:rRNA from 1 species
UACGGAGGGGGCUAGCGUUUUUCGGAAUUACUGGGCGUAAAGGGCGCGUAGGCGGCGCAACAAGUCACUUGUGAAAUCUCCGGGCUUAACCCGGAGCGGUCAAGUGAUACUGUCGUGCUAGAGUGCGGAAGGGGCUACUGGAAUUCUCGGUGUAGCGGUGAAAUGCGUAGAUAUCGAGAGGAACACCUGCGGCGAAGGCGGGUAGCUGGGCCGACACUGACGCUGAUGCGCGAAAGCCAGGGGAGCGAACGGG